rnacentral:lncRNA from 1 species
AUGAUUCUAAGAUGGAAUAUUAGGGUUUAAAAAAUUUUUAAACAUAAUACCCAGCUCCCUGAUUCCAGGAGCAAAAGGGUAGGAGGACCAAGGAUGCACCUUAUUUCAGCAAUGGGUCAUGAGUAAUUAGCAGAAAACAGAAGCCAUCUAACAAGGUGCGUUGCACUUAUGGGAACUUGCCGUUGGCUGAUGAAAUGCAGGCCUGCCAUAAUUAGAGAGAUCACUAUUUCACUAUGGGGGAAGUCACCACACAGACAUCUGAAAAAUGGACGUGUCCAGACUUGGAGGCAGUCUCUGGAGCUUGAGGAGUUAGAGUUCAUGGGUUCCUCAGUCAGGACUGGAAGUAUAAUGGAGAGUGUCCUCUAUGUCCUUCACAACUCUUUCUGGGAAAGAAUAUAACCAUCUACAGCAAGAUGAGCUCAAGCCAAGAGUUGCCACAUGACAAGAACCUGGAGGGAAUUUUUGGACAGGACGGAGAAAAGGUAGACUAGAAAUGCUUCUUCUGCUGUACCUGCAAACUACAUCAUGUCUUUGUUUUAGGCAGCCACCUCCUGAGAGAUUAUCAGAGUAGUUAUGUGACUACUGCUGCCUGUUCAAAAUUUUCUGCCAAUGAAACUUGUGGGUUUUGUGUUGUGGGGUACUGGCAAAUGUUUAACAGUUGGGAGCUCAGGGAGUUGGGAAUUGCAUAUGUGACGCACUUUUAAUUUUUAUCUGUAUUAUUAACAUUUUCUUUUUUCUUUUCUUUGGUUUUGUCAAAUCAAUA